rnacentral:lncRNA from 13 species
AUAGCUAAGUAGACCUAUUGGCCUACAUUAUGUUUUCAUAUCAAUUUGUUUGGCAUCUAUGUCGAAUAUGGCAGGGGGAGCCAGGUAAGGAGUUGGACACAUCCUUCAUAUCCAAGCAAAGGGAUAACAUUGAUUACUUUUGACUGAACCUUAGAAACUCUGCUUCUAUAGCCUAUAGUAAGAAGGUGUGAUGGGAGUUUUAAAAUCUGUUAUUAAUGACACAUCCUGUGUUGACAGUAUUCAGUGUACUUGUUGGUUUAUGGACUGGACACAUUAACUGCAGGAGGAGAGUGCUGUUGGGUAAUAGGCAAAAAUCAAGAGAGGCAGAGAUCUGCACAUCACUGGCUUACAGAGCGGACACUACCUCACCCAGAUAACGGUUAGUACCAGCCAGUCUUUAGAGAUAUAUUAUGCGUAGAUUUUUUUGUUGCAGUUCUGUAGGGAUUGAUGUAUCUUUCUGUGUAUUAAUGAGUGUUUUUGUGCAUCUCAGGGUUUUUAAAGGUGAUCCAAUGUAAUUUGGUCUAAUGCAACAAAAAAUAGGACAUGUGCAGACGCAGACCUCUCACGGUCUCGCUUGGAGACAAAAAAUAGGACAUGUGCAGACGCAGACCUCUCAAAAAAUGUUCCUUCAAGUUGCAUCGUCAAGACUUUGGACAAAUUUGUAAUUGUUUUGCAAAAUGUAUUUAGUGUUUAAUUCAUAGUGCCACAGCUUGAAAAGUCAAGCAAUUGUCAUUGAAUAAAUUCCAUAGAAACAGUAGCUAUAUAGUACCUCGAAGCUAAAGGAGGAUAGGCUGAUGAGGGAUUUGUCUGAUGCUUUACAAAAAACACACCCUGACUGUUUGUGUCAGGAAAACACACUGUGUCACUUUCAUUUAUUGUGAUGUGUUUCCCUCUUGUAAGCACGUGUCCCUCAGGCACAGAGAACCAUGGCAUUUACAGGGUUGCUGAGAGAGGAGGACAUCAGGGCUGCCGUCAAGGCUUGUCAAGGUGAGUCAAACACGUGAACACACCAUUACACACACACACACACACNNNNNNNNNNGAGAGUGCUGUUGGGUAAUAGGCAAAAAUCAAGAGAGGCAGAGAUCUGCACAUCACUGGCUUACAGAGCGGACACUACCUCACCCAGAUAACGGUUAGUACCAGCCAGUCUUUAGAGAUAUAUUAUGCGUAGAUUUUUUUGUUGCAGUUCUGUAGGGAUUGAUGUAUCUUUCUGUGUAUUAAUGAGUGUUUUUGUGCAUCUCAGGGUUUUUAAAGGUGAUCCAAUGUAAUUUGGUCUAAUGCAACAAAAAAUAGGACAUGUGCAGACGCNNNNNNNNNNAAUUUCAUUGAUAAUAAGUUAAAUACAUAGCUAUAUCUACAGGCUAAAUGAAAAUGCCCGCACCGCAAACAUUGUAUUAUGACUAAACGCGUUGGCUAGCGUCAAUAGCAACGACAAGCUAACAUGAGCUAUCAAUGCCUCAAACAAUGCCGUUUCAUUAUCCAUGAAAAAUAGAAAAGGUCUAUUACCUUUCUAGAACAAUAAUAUUUAGAUAAAUACGCUUUGCCGGCAGUGCUCUACAUUUAUUCACACGUAAUAUUUUAUCAAUAGUCCAAACUGUCAGGCACCACCUCUCCUCAGAGGCGCCAUGUUCCUACAACGUCAUAGCAUGGGGGCGUGCAUAUUGAGACAUAUACAAUAGCGAAUCACAACCCAUUAAUCUGUAUUAAUGUACCGAUAUGACCAAUCACUAUCAUUCUUCGAAUUUCCCUGUCCACAUCCAUUGCUUUGUGUCAAACGUAAAGCGAGAUGCGUUUUUAGACCAGUCACUUGACAUGUGAGGUAUGCAAGCAAUGUUCCGGUGCUUUAUGAAAGAUGAACUACUCUACCUGCCUGAUUUAAUGGACUUGUAGGCUAUACAUCCAGUGUUUCCCCUAUAAUUGUUAUUUCUUAGUGGAGUGCAAAGGUCUUGGAAAGUUAUGCCUAUCAUAUCAAAUUUUAUUGGUCACAUGCGCCGAAUACAACAGGUGUAGACUUUAGAGUGAAAUGAUUACUUACGAGCCUAUACCCGACAAUGCAGAUUUAAAAAGUAAGAACAGUAUUUGCUAAAUAAAAAAAGUAGAUAGGAACACAAUAAAAACAAUAACGAGGGUAUAUACAAGGAGUACCUGUACCGAGUCAAUGUGCAGGGGUACGAGGUAGUUUAGGUAAUUGAGGUAACACAGUAUGUACUGGCAGGUAGCUAGUGAUAAAAGUGACUAGGCAAUCAGGAUAUAUAACUGUGUAGCAGCAGUGAGUGUCAUCAUUAUGCAUGUGUGUGAGUUUAUGUAGUAUGUGUGUGUUGGAGUGUCAGUGUAGUAUGUGUGAGUUUAUGUAGUAUGUGUGUGUUGGAGUGUCAGUGUAGUAUGUGUGAGUUUAUUGUAGUAUGUGUGUGUUGGAGUGUCAGUGUAGUAUGUGUGAGAUUAUGUAGUAUGUGUGUGUUGGAGUGUCAGUGUAGUAUGUGUGAGUUUAUGUAGUAUGUGUGUGUUGGAGUGUCAGUGUAGUAUGUGUGANNNNNNNNNNUACCUUUCUAGAACAAUAAUAUUUAGAUAAAUACGCUUUGCCGGCAGUGCUCUACAUUUAUUCACACGUAAUAUUUUAUCAAUAGUCCAAACUGUCAGGCACCACCUCUCCUCAGAGGCGCCAUGUUCCUACAACGUCAUAGCAUGGGGGCGUGCAUAUUGAGACAUAUACAAUAGCGAAUCACAACCCAUUAAUCUGUAUUAAUGUACCGAUAUGACCAAUCACUAUCAUUCUUCGAAUUUCCCUGUCCACAUCCAUUGCUUU